rnacentral:lncRNA from 1 species
CCCCUUUUCAGAGACUGAAAAGAAGAGCGUCACAGUUCUCUACCCAAAUUUAAAUGCUUAAAUACAAGCAAAUAAAAUUAUGCUGGUUUAUUUUUGGUAAAAGAAAAGUAAUAGUGAGAAAUGUUCUCGAAUAUAAGUACUAUUAUUUUUAUUUAAGAAAGUUUUCAAAAUUCUCUUUAUAUAAAUUUAAAGUAAGCCCAUAAAUAAUAUGCAACACUUAUAUCAAACAAUCAUCUAGUAAUUUUACUCAAAGGAUUUUCAAAUAUAAAACAUUUCCAUUUCACAUAAGUAUCAUACAAUUUUUCAAUUUAAAAUGAUAAAAAGAUAAAUUCCUACAAAAGACUCUUUGAAGGACCUAAAGGUCCUGAUACAUUGAUGAAGACCUUAAUCAAGUUUAACCCACAAAUAAUCACGAGCUGGUCAAACACCAUUGAUGCCUGUCAUCCAGUCCAAUGACGUCAUCAAUACAUAUCAAAGAGAUCUUUCUCUUCGAACUCCAAAAAUAAACUAGAUCACUAAUCAACACUAACGGUCCUUGUAUUAUAAUUAAUGUCUCUCACAAUCACGUUUUCCUUUUCUCAAUGAACUUCAACUUGAGGUCUUAGAAUCCUGCACUAACUGUUGUAAGGGGUGAAUCACUCGUACACAAGUUACCAUCGUGAUGAUGUCACAAGGCUACACAUAAUAUUAUACAUAUACAUUUAUUUAACUAGUAUAUAUACAUACCUGAGUAUCUAAUCAUGUAUUUACAUCAAAUAGAAUCAAGUAGUCAAAUAGUCACAAAAAUAUGAAUUGCACAAAACAUUAUAACAAUAUCACAAUUCAACAAUUAGUCAAAAACAAAGAUAAUCGAAUAUAUCCAAUAUAUCAAUCAUCAAAUAUAUCAAACAUCGAGAUUUAAUCAUUUAAAAUGUAUAUAAAAUCUAAUAAUAAUUCUUCACUCGAAGUUAGUCUUCUAAUUUGGUUAGUAUUAUUUUUAUUCAACCAACUCCAUGGAGACCUCUAUCAUGAGCGUAAGGCCGUUUCAACUGCCAUAACAUGGUCGUUUGCAAAUCAACAUAUAUCAAAUAUGUCUUAACCAUUAUGGCCCGAGCGCUACACCUUAUNNNNNNNNNNNNNNNNNNNCGUCGGGUUGUAUGAUUUCCUCCAGUCAGAGUGGCUA